CCUCAGAGCGACAUAGGUUAGUUCCAGCACCGCCAACCUUCUUCUCGCCACCUAGGGACUUCUUUUCUGUCAUUAUCUUUUUGCACCCCUCCGAGUUAGCUUCCUGUGACCUCUCAUUCCCCCUUCUGUCUGACUUCUUAGGGUCCUUUAGAGCCCCCACUUCGAAACUACUCGAAAUGUCUUCCGGCUCUUCCGCUCCCUGC
rnacentral:lncRNA from 1 species